CCAACUUGGAGCUGGGGAAGCUUCGAGCAGCUUCUCACGGGAGCCACCCCUGCGGCCCCCUCCCCUGCUACCGAAACCCCACCACACAACACCCAACCAAGAAGAAAUCUCCAGUCUCCCAGUCAAGGCGGAACAGGACGCUUCCCCUGGUCUCAGCCAUCGUGGCUCCGUGGCGUGUGCCCUCCUGGUAGCCAUGGGGGUGUGAAGUAAGGAUCUGCUCUGGGCACGUAUACGGGUCUUGGGAGACCCACCGCUGUAUCCAUAAUGUCCUGGGGGAGUUUCUUUGGACAUCGGUACUGGAACGGCCUUGGUGUGUGUCCACGUGAGUUUGUGGCAGGUUUGCCCUGGAGAAUUUCCGAGCUUUUUCUAACCUUUCCUGUAGGUUUUUCUGUGCUUUUAUGGACAUUAAUAUAGAAUAUUUUAAUUAAUUUGCUUUAGGUUAUCCUAAAUCGUGAGUAAAUUCAAAUAUUAAAUGUUCUCCCAAACCAUUAGUCUUCAGGGAGAAACGGAGCGUAGGAGCUAGUAGCCCUUACACAAGAUUUCUGAAAUACCAUUGCUUACUUUUCCCUGUUCACUUUAAUAUUUCUGUAUAUAUGUAGCAUAAACACAAACAUUGUGAGGUUGUGAAAGUAGGACCUAGGGUUUGAUGAUACUUUUUGUUGACUGCAAUUUUUGAAUUUAAGCCUCAACAAGGUAUGGAAUAACUUACUGGCUUGAGGUGGUGUUAAUUGCACUAUAAUUUUGUACCUACAAACACAAAGAAAUUUUGUUGUUAAUGUUACUCUUCACACUACCAUGCCUUAUGUUGAACUUUUUCUUAUUUGUUAAACAGCUAGCUGGCAGUGCAGCUAUAGCCAAGAGUUGGAAGAAUAGGCAAUAUUAAAAACACAGGAUGAGUGCUAGCACAGCAGUUUUACUUUGGCAUAUUAUUUUCAUGAACCUAGCAUCUUUUGCAAGGUUUUCCUGGAAAUAAAAAGAAAACACCUUUCCAAAUCAUCUUUACUUGGGUAGAAUGGAUGCUUAAUUACACUGAACUUCUCCAAAACAAACGUUCAUGUAUUGACCUGAAUUGUACCUUGGAUAUUUCUGCUAAGAUGGUUUUUUCCUACUUCUUGCUUGCCCACUUUUACUCACAAGGGAAGAGGAUGGGAUAAGCUUGGAUACUCCUUUCUUCUAAGGAAAACUCUUCUAAUGGCUCUUUUUUUGUGAAGUUCCUGGUGAAGCAGAAGGCUACGUAUUUCUAAAAUGAUGUCUCAGAAAUUUGGUGAUUUACCAAGAAGGGGCUAGCACCACAUGAAACACUUUCCUGACCUUUACCAAUGUCAGAACAUGAAACAGAGGAGGAGGAUAUCCUAUGGUGUAUAUAGUACAUUAAGGGGAUUACCUCAUCAGCAUGAAAGGUCCAUAACUAAUCUACACCAGAGACAUGUGAACUGUUGGAGGAGGACAUUCUUGAGGAUAUAAAGAAACACAUCAAAACAUUUUCUCUGAGAGUUGUUCAGCACGUACUACAAGUGCGAAGAACGUUGUCUGUUGUGAGAAGAAAUAUAAGGAGCUUGUCCUACAUGUAUUGAGAGACUGGGUUAAAAGGCCGCUGCUUUCAAGCCUGAGCUCCUAAAACAGAGAAGUGCUUAAGUCAGCUUUUAGAUAUGUUAAGUGGGAUUUUCCCAAACGCUGCAUUUUAAAGAUGGGUCUAGACUACAUUUGUUUAAGUAAAAUAUACAUGGCCUAUAGAAAAGAAAUGGUGGAAGGGUGGUCUAGACAUAGCAAAACAUUACUUACAAUGCAGUAAGCUAUGUCAUGCGUUUCUUUCAUCUUACUGUACACGUGAUGCAAUUCACCUUUCUGCUAUUUUGAUUGAUCUCACAUUCACACUGUAGCUUGUAGCAUGAAGCCAGUUUCAAAACUUUCAUAGGUUCUGUCUUUAUUAAAAUAUUUUCCUGCUCUAA